UAUGAUUUCGAACAGUGUUGCCACUUCUUGCUUUCAAACUGCUGAGUUUGUUAAAGAAAAUUUCGUUGAUUUUAUGUAAAACAUGAAAUAAAUGAAGAACAAAUUUGAAAUUCAAAAUUCGGGCUUUGAUGUGCCUUUGUCCAUGCGUUUUAAAAAGGUGUAUUAAAAAUUUGAUGGCUCUAGGAAUCGCUGUUUGUGGAACAUACGUAAAUAUAUAUAGAUUCUUCAUUAUUUAAUAUUUUUAAAUAACAUUUGGUGGCAACAAUAUGAAAAGUGAUUCGGACAGAAAGUGAGCUUCGAGACAAAUAGCAUCUCUGCUGUUAAAAAGAAGAAAACAAAUCUAUAACAAGCUGUAUUUUGGCCGGCGGAACAAUACGUUUUAUUAAUUACAAUAAUGCUGCUAAGGUGUUGGAAGAAAAACAGAAAAAAAACUGUCUCAGGAUCAGAAUAGAAUGAAGAAAAAGUAAGGAAGAGGAAGACUUAAUAAACCAGAAUUUUAAAAUUACUUAAGAGUUAGAAAGUGUUUUAACCCAGGAAUUACCUUUUACUUCAAUGCAGCCUGUCGAAAAAACAAAAGAAAUACUGGUGAAUCUACACUUUCUGCAGUAGAUACGCAUUUUUCUGUGCCUGAUGAUUCCGGAUUAUGCCCAAGUCCAUUAUUGCCAUCCCAGUUCCAGCCUUAAUAGAAAAUGCUCGUGGAUAACCUGGUUUCGGAUUUCAGUUUCCCAAAAGAUAAAAAUGGACGUAAAUUUUUUUAGAUGUAUUUUGUUUCGAAUCUUGCCACACAACGAAAUAGUUUAAAGGUUGGUAAAUCCUGAUGAAAAAAAAAAUCUGUUUCAUGUUUUUGUUGCAAAAUUUUUAACAGUUUCAGCGAAUUCUGAAUUCAACAAACAGAACCACCUAAAUGAGCACUUGAAACUUCAUGAAAAAAAUAAAAUGCAUUUCCGGAAUCUACAUCUUUGGCCCGAUUUCUUAGAACGAUUAGGAAAGAAUAAACCCUGUUGAUUUGGAAUUUCAAAAUUUAUUUAAAAAAGAGACUAAGCAUUGGCGCAAUGUUAUGGAAAGAAUUACCUAUGCCAUUCGGUUUUUAGCCAAACAAAACUUAGCCUUCCGGCGUUCCAGUAAUAAGUUAUUCGAAAGAAAUAAUGACAUUUUUAAGUGUAUAGAAAUGAUCACAAAAUUUGAUCCUGUCAUGUCUGUAUAUAUUAAUAAAAUUCAAACUAAAAAAAAAUAUUUUUCAUUACGUUGAAGAGAAAAUUCAAAAUGAAACAAUUAGCUUACUAGGGGAUAAUAUAAAACAAAUUAUUUUAAGUAAGGUCAAACAGGCAAAGUACCUUUCUAUUUUACUUAUUGUACCCUUGAUGCCAGCCAUCAAGAGCAGAUAUUAAUUUGUAUGAGAUGUCUUAAUUUAGAAAAUACAAAACUGAGUAUUGAAGAAAGGUUUUAGUAUUUUGGUGUUACAACUGAUACGACCGGUGAAGAACAAACAGCAUUCUUGUUAAAGAAUUUAGAGGAAAAUGUUUUAUAUAUUAGUAAUUUAAGCGGCCAAAAUUACGACAAUGGUUCAAACAAUGAGAGGUAAAAUGUUUUAGAGUAAUUAUGCUCAAAUCGGUUGAUUUUCCGAAUUAAAAAGUUAACCUAAGUUUAACAUAAUAUGUAACUGUACUUACUCUUAUGUAGAAACUUACCCUUAAUGUAGAAAAACAAUCACAACAAGCAAUCACAAAAAAAGAUAAAUGUUGGACAAAUUACUACUAUUGCACAAAAUAAGACACAAAAUAAGGAUAGACAAAUAGAGUAGACACAAAAUAAGGAUUAAGCUAUUUGUCGAUUGCCUCUACUCUUACAUACGCAUCAGCAUCACGUAUUUUCAUGUUUAAAUAAGAAAGAAGAAAACACCAGAGACGAACUCCUGCCCUGGUUAUAACUUUCGGUCAAAUAAGACAGUGUGCUAGGAGGAAGGGGCACUCAGACCUGGCAAAGCAGCCUUGAGAGCAACUUUCCUAAUUGCCCCAACCCCUAGAGGCGAUCCAAGAGGCCACUAACCUAUGGUCGAGCCUCCGAGCAAAGACUAAGCUAAGUCGACAGGAAUACUCAGCAACUCACUUUCCACGUCCCCGUUCUGAAGGGAUGGUAAAUCAUCUGCCAUCAACAGGGGCCACAACCCCGAACAGCAGAACGAAGUGACUUAAACACUGUCAUACAGACCGGGCCACCAAUCCGGCCUGCUAACACUACGUCAUAAUAUACAGAUGUCGCCUUUAGGCGCUCCCAGGGGGAAACCAAGGAAAGAUAUGAAUAUGUAGUUUUGAGGCUCCAGGCGCCUUCAGCAUUUUAAAGGCUCGCUGAAUUCACCAGUUCCAUCGAUGGGUGUGUUUUGCCCUGGACAACCAUGAAUAUCAGUCUAUACAGCUCAACCACAACCAGCGGAACGGACGAGAAUGCCAUAUGAUCCCUGCCGAGUCUGAAACAACCAUCGCUAGCGAUGACCCCAGUCCUGUGGAAGCAUUUUAAAUAACCGUGGCCGAGACUGCCUAGGUACAGAUCCUAAUCACUAACUUCCCAGGUAUUACCUGAGUCGACCCCCGGAGGGGCGUUCAAAUAAGAAAAGAAUUUUUCUGUUCAGACAGGCAGCGAGACGAACUACUUGUUUUAAUGAUUGCCCGGCGCUUUUUUGUUUCAGCACCAACGUACGCCGCACGGCCUUGCACCUAUUGUCGGCUUGGAGCCUGCUUACAUAUUUUUCGAUUUAGUGUUUGUUUAGUAAUCUUUAGUUUUAUUAUUCAAUUAUAUUUCUUUUUGCCGUUUUAGAUUUUAUCAUUGAAUAAUUUAAUGGGUUUAAUGAUAUCAGAAUUAUUGAAGUAACUAUUACAAUUUUGUUAUAAUAUUUAAAUUUUACUAAAUAAUAUUUUGUUAAUAUUUGGAACCUGUGAUAAGUCAAUUCAAAUUUAUUUCAUUACGUAAAUAAGGACAAAUUAAUACGAGAUUAAAGACAAAUUGAGACAAAUAAGGACAAAUUAAGACGAUUAAGACGAGAUUAUAUAAUCUAAUCUGAAUGAAUUUUAAUGUCUUUCAUUAAUUAUAUUAAGAAAUGUAUUUUAUGAAAUGAAAUUGUAUUUGUUUU
rnacentral:lncRNA from 1 species